rnacentral:sRNA from 1 species
ACCCGCUGAACUUAAGCAUAUCAAUAAGCGGAGGAAAAGAAACCNACAGGGAUUGCCCCAGUAACGGCGAGUGAAGCGGCAACAGCUCAAAUUUGAAAUCUGGUCCCCCCGCGGGGCCCGAGUUGUAAUUUGAAGAGGAUGCUUCUGGCAAGGUGCCGUCCGAGUUCCCUGGAACGGGACGCCGCAGAGGGUGAGAGCCCCGUACGGUCGGACGCCGAGCCUCUGUGAAGCUCCUUCGACGAGUCGAGUAGUUUGGGAAUGCUGCUCAAAAUGGGAGGUAAACCCCUUCUAAAGCUAAAUACCGGCCAGAGACCGAUAGCGCACAAGUAGAGUGAUCGAAAGAUGAAAAGCACUUUGAAAAGAGAGUUAAAAAGCACGUGAAAUUGUUGAAAGGGAAGCGCUUGCGACCAGACUCGCGCCCGUCGGAUCAGCCGUCGCUCGUCGGCGGCGCACUCCGGCGGGCUCGGGCCAGCAUCAGUUCGCCUCGGGGGGAGAAAGGCGGCGGGAAUGUGGCUCCACGGAGUGUUAUAGCCCACCGCGUAAUACCCCCGGGCGGACUGAGGACCGCGCGUAUGCAAGGAUGCUGGCGUAAUGGUCGUCAGCGACCCGUCUUGAAACACGGACCAAGGAGUCGUCCUAAUAUGCGAGUGUACGGGUGUCAAACCCCUGCGCGUAAUGAAAGUGAACGGAGGUGAGAGCUUCGGCGCAUCAUCGACCGAUCCUGAUGUUCUCGGAUGGAUUUGAGUAAGAGCAUAUUGGGCCGGACCCGAAAGAAGGUGAACUAUGCCUGUGUAGGGUAAAGCCAGAGGAAACUCUGGUGGAGGCUCGCAGCGGUUCUGACGUGCAAAUCGAUCGUCAAACAUGGGCAUGGGGGCGAAAGACUAAUCGAACYUUCUAGUAGCUGGGUUUCCGCCGAAGUUUCCCCUCAAGGA